GCCAGCAUGGCAUAGCGGUUUGAGCACUGAACUGCAGCUGUGGAGUCCAAGGUUCAAAUCCUGGAUCAGCCA